GGCUAUCCAGGUCCACAAAAUGCUACAGGGUAUCCGAACCUAACUGGGUCCAUGGAAAUUAAGAUUCCAAGUAGUGCAGUGGCUUCUGUUCUUGGGGUGAACGGGGGUAAUAUAGCCGAUAUCCGUCAGAUAUCAGGAGCAAGAGUAAAAAUAAAUGAUCCAAUUCCUGGUGGGUCUGAAUGUGUGGUGGAAAUUCAUGGAUCUUCGGAGCAGAUGAAGGCAG
rnacentral:misc_RNA from 1 species